AUGAGACUCCAUUUGCUUCUCCUUAUUCUCCUUCUUUUUUAAAUUCUCUUAUCCCCAGUAAGAGGUGGUUUGGGUCCUGCGGAAGGUCAUUGUCUCAAUUUGUCUGGUGUUUGCAGAAGAGAUGUCUGCAAAGUAGUAGAAGAUCAAAUUGGUGCCUGCCGAAGAAGGAUGAAGUGCUGUAGAGCAUGG